rnacentral:lncRNA from 1 species
GACUGACAUAUACUUUUAUCUAGGGGAUACUUUGUACUUGAUGGGUUGUCUUGAUAAUCAAUUAUGUUAUAUGUAUCCAAGAUUUAUCCUAAAAAUUAAUAAAAAUAAUUUUUAUAUUCUUAAGGUAUUAAGAAUUUAAGACAUACAUCAUUAGUAGUUAAUUUCUAAAUGGUUUCGAUCGAAGGAUCGUCAUGGAGGACAGUGAUCAAUCUAUUCAAGAUCGAUAUAUGGAUCAUCUCCCUUUAGGAUAGA